rnacentral:rRNA from 1 species
CUGGAAACGGGGUCUAAUACCGGAUACUGACCUGCCAAGGCAUCUUGGCGGGUCGAAAGCUCCGGCGGUGCAGGAUGAGCCCGCGGCCUAUCAGCUUGUUGGUGAGGUAAUGGCUCACCAAGGCGACGACGGGUAGCCGGCCUGAGAGGGCGACCGGCCACACUGGGACUGAGACACGGCCCAGACUCCUACGGGAGGCAGCAGUGGGGAAUAUUGCACAAUGGGCGCAAGCCUGAUGCAGCGACGCCGCGUGAGGGAUGACGGCCUUCGGGUUGUAAACCUCUUUCAGCAGGGAAGAAGCGAAAGUGACGGUACCUGCAGAAGAAGCGCCGGCUAACUACGUGCCAGCAGCCGCGGUAAUACGUAGGGCGCAAGCGUUGUCCGGAAUUAUUGGGCGUAAAGAGCUCGUAGGCGGCUUGUCGCGUCGGUUGUGAAAGCCCGGGCUUAACCCCGGGUCUGCAGUCGAUACGGGCAGGCUAGAGUUCGGUAGGGGAGAUCGGAAUUCCUGGUGUAGCGGUGAAAUGCGCAGAUAUCAGGAGGAACACCGGUGGCGAAGGCGGAUCUCUGGGCCGAUACUGACGCUGAGGAGCGAAAGCGUGGGGAGCGAACAGGAUUAGAUACCCUGGUAGUCCACGCCGUAAACGGUGGGCACUAGGUGUGGGCAACAUUCCACGUUGUCCGUGCCGCAGCUAACGCAUUAAGUGCCCCGCCUGGGGAGUACGGCCGCAAGGCUAAAACUCAAGGAAUUGACGGGGGCCCGCACAAGCGGCGGAGCAUGUGGCUUAAUUCGACGCAACGCGAAGAACCUUACCAAGGCUUGACAUACACCGGAAAGCAUCAGAGAUGGUGCCCCCCUUGUGGUCGGUGUACAGGUGG